rnacentral:rRNA from 1 species
GAUGAACGCUGGCGGCGUGCCUAAUACAUGCAAGUCGAGCGAACGGACGAGAAGCUUGCUCCUCUGACGUUAGCGGCGGACGGGUGAGUAACACGUGGAUAACCUACCUAUAAGACUGGGAUAACUUCGGGAAACCGGAGCUAAUACCGGAUGAUAUUUUGAACCGCAUGGUUCAAAAGUGAAAGACGGUCUUGCUGUCACUUAUAGAUGGAUCCGCGCUGCAUUAGCUAGUUGGUAAGGUAACGGCUUACCAAGGCAACGAUGCAUAGCCGACCUGAGAGGGUGAUCGGCCACACUGGAACUGAGACACGGUCCAGACUCCUACGGGAGGCAGCAGUAGGGAAUCUUCCGCAAUGGGCGAAAGCCUGACGGAGCAACGCCGCGUGAGUGAUGAAGGUCUUCGGAUCGUAAAACUCUGUUAUUAGGGAAGAACAUAUGUGUAAGUAACUGUGCACAUCUUGACGGUACCUAAUCAGAAAGCCACGGCUAACUACGUG